rnacentral:rRNA from 1 species
AUGCUGACGUGGCCGCUGGUGUUCGUCCAGUUCAUCGAGGAGAGGCUGGUCACGGACGUUCUCAAGAUUGGCGAGAGGGUGUGGGACGGGCCACGGAGCACAAGGUACGAGGAGCAGCAGACGGUGCCGGCCGCGGCAGUGGCGCGGGCCGUGGCGAGGUUCUUGGAACCCGGGGGAACAGGGGAGGCGGCGAGGGGCCGGGCGCAGGAGCUCGCCCUGAAGGCUCACGCCGCUGUGGCGGAAGGCGGGUCGUCGUAUAAUGAUCUGCACAGGCUUAUCAGCGAUCUGAUGAAAACACGGAAGAUCUAG